rnacentral:lncRNA from 1 species
AGACCCCUGGGCUAACAGCCCAAGAGAUGCACCUCAAUGGCCCCCACCAGUGUCCGUAUCAGCAAGCCUGGACCAGCUCAGAACAACGGCCCCCACCAAUGUCUCAGUCUCCGGAGAGGACCCUCCUCUCACCAAGAUGCCCCCAGAGCCCACCAGCUGGAGGUACUCGAUGCCCAAUAACUGUCUCCCUUCACCUUAAGGCAUAAAUUUUUAUAAGAGGCAAGAAGAAUGCAAUGAUGUUCAGCUCAAUUACCAGCCUCGAGUCAAGUAUGCCUUGAAACAAAGCUGCAGAGCCAACUGUAGCCUAUAUUAGAGAAGCUGCAGUCAAUCUGGAGAACUUUAUGAGAACCAAUGUUUCAAUUUGCAAG